GACGAACGCUGGCGGCGUGCCUAAUACAUGCAAGUAGAACGCUGAAGGAGGAGCUUGCUUCUCUGGAUGAGUUGCGAACGGGUGAGUAACGCGUAGGUAACCUGCCUGGUAGCGGGGGAUAACUAUUAGAAACGAUAGCUAAUACCGCAUAAUAGUAGAUGUCGCAUGACAUUUGCUUAAAAGGUGCAAUUGCAUCACUACCAGAUGGACCUGCGUUGUAUUAGCUAGUUGGUGAGGUAACGGCUCACCAAGGCAACGAUACAUAGCCGACCUGAGAGGGUGAUCGGCCACACUGGGACUGAGACACGGCCCAGACUCCUACGGGAGGCAGCAGUAGGGAAUCUUCGGCAAGGGACGGAAGUCUGACCGAGCAACGCCGCGUGAGUGAAGAAGGUUGUCGGAUCGUAAAGCUCUGUUGUAAGAGAAGAACGAGUGUGAGAGUGGAAAGUUCACACUGUGACGGUAUCUUACCAGAAAGGGACGGCUAACUACGUG
rnacentral:rRNA from 1 species